UACGGAAGGCAGCAGUGGGGAAUAUUGCACAAUGGGCGCAAGCCUGAUGCAGCCAUGCCGCGUGUAUGAAGAAGGCCUUCGGGUUGUAAAGUACUUUCAGCGGGGAGGAAGGCGAUGUGGUUAAUAACCGCAUCGAUUGACGUUACCCGCAGAAGAAGCACCGGCUAACUCCGUGCCAGCAGCCGCGGUAAUACGGAGGGUGCAAGCGUUAAUCGGAAUUACUGGGCGUAAAGCGCACGCAGGCGGUCUGUCAAGUCGGAUGUGAAAUCCCCGGGCUUAACCUGGGAACUGCAUUCGAAACUGGCAGGCUAGAGUCUUGUAGAGGGGGUAGAAUUCCAGGUGUAGCGGUGAAAUGCGUAGAGAUCUGGAGGAAUACCGGUGGCGAAGGCGGGCCCCUGGACAAAGCUGACGCUCAGGUGCGAAAGCGUGGGGAGCAAACAGGAUUAGGAUAACC
rnacentral:rRNA from 1 species